rnacentral:lncRNA from 1 species
CCAUAGGUCAACUAUAUUUAGUGUAUGGAAAUAUUUUAUGAUUUAUAUAUUAGUCGCGCAGGUUUUAUUUGACCUUGACCUCAUUUUCACGGUUCAUUGCUCAGUGUUAAGUUUUUCGUGUUUUGGUCUGUUUUUCUCAUACUUUAUGCAAUAGGUCUACUAUAUUUGUUGUAUGGAAUGAUUGUAAGGUGAACAUGUCUAGUGGACAGAUGUCAUCUGACCUUGACCUCAUUUUCAUGGUUCAGUGGUCAAAGUUAAGUUUUUCAGUUUUGGUCUUUUUAUCUGAUACUAUAUGCCAUAUAUACACUAUAUUUAGUGUAUGGAAAUAUUUUAUGAUUUAUAUAUUAGUCGCGCAGGUUUUAUUUGACCUUGACCUCAUUUUCACAGUUCAUUGCUCAGUGUUAAGUUUUUGUGUUUUGGUCUAUUUUUCUUAAACUAUAAGUAUUAGGUCAACUAUAUUUGUUUUAUGGAAGCAUUGUUAGCUGUACAUGUCAGCCUGGCAUGGUUCAUCUGACCUUGACCUCAUUUUCAUGGUUCAUUGGUCUUUGUUUAGUUAUCUUGGUUAAUGUAACGUUUAUGUGACAGUUGUAAUAAAGCUUUAUACUUAGGACUAUCAACAUAAUAUCAAUGAUUAGUAAAGAAGGCGAGACAUUUCAGUGUGUGUGCACUCUUGUUAUAGUAUUUCAGAAAUCCAGAGAAAUAUUCUUUGAAAAUAAACAUAACUUAUUCUAUGCCUCAUA